rnacentral:rRNA from 1 species
GACGAACGCUGGCGGCGUGCUUAACACAUGCAAGUCGAACGGUGAACGAGGGAGCUUGCUCCCUCCGGAUCAGUGGCGGACGGGUGAGUAACACGUGAGCAAUGUGCCCCGAACUCUGGGAUAAGCGUUGGAAACGACGUCUAAUACCGGAUACGACGCGGCAGGGCAUCCUCUCCGCGUGCAAAGAACUUCGGUUCGGGAUGAGCUCGGGGCCUAUCAUCUUGUUGGUGAGGGAGAGGCUCACCAAGGCGACGACGGGGAGCCGGCCUGAGAGGGUGACCGGCCAAACUGGGACUGAGACACGGCCCAGACUCCUACGGGAGGCAGCAGUGGGGAAUAUUGCACGAUGGGCGCAAGCCUGAUGCAGCAACGCCGCGUGAGGGAUGACGGCCUUCGGUUUGUAGGCCUCUUUUAGCAGGGAAGAAGCGAAAGUGACGGUACCUGCAGAAAAAGCACCGGCUAACUACGUG